rnacentral:rRNA from 1 species
GAUUAACGCUGGCGGCGUGCCUAAUACAUGCAAGUCGAGCGAACAGACGAGGAGCUUGCUCCUCUGACGUUAGCGGCGGACGGGUGAGUAACACGUGGAUAACCUACCUAUAAGACUGGGAUAACUUCGGGAAACCGGAGCUAAUACCGGAUAAUAUAUUGAACCGCAUGGUUCAAUAGUGAAAGACGGUUUUGCUGUCACUUAUAGAUGGAUCCGCGCCGCAUUAGCUAGUUGGUAAGGUAACGGCUUAUCAAGGCAACGAUGCGUAGCCGACCUGAGAGGGUGAUCGGCCACACUGGAACUGAGACACGGUCCAGACUCCUACGGGAGGCAGCAGUAGGGAAUCUUCCGCAAUGGGCGAAAGCCUGACGGAGCAACGCCGCGUGAGUGAUGAAGGUCUUCGGAUCGGAAAACUCUGUUAUUAGGGAAGAACAAAUGUGUAAGUAACUAUGCACGUCUUGACGGUACCUAAUCAGAAAGCCACGGCUAACUACGUG